CCAGAUUAAUUAGGUACACUUAAAUUAAUCCUUAGAUUUUCCUUAUGUCAUUGAAUUGGACGGAAAUAACGCAUCGCAAUCAAAUUAUUCUUCAAAAGUUCCCUACAUGAAAGCCCAUAAUAGAUAUACAAUCAAAGAUCAUUACGUUCUAUGAAAUCAUAAGUAUUGACAAGGCAUUCGUAACUAUGAAAGUGCAUGAUACUUAUGCUAGGAAUUUAC
rnacentral:lncRNA from 1 species